GCGUUUUAAUUGUAAGACAUUAUUCAUUAAGAAAUUGGUUAUCAUACUUACUGUGUUAAUCUGGUGGUAAAGGUAUUCUUAAGAAUUUGCAAGUACUUUACAUUUUGAAAACAGAAGGAGAGAGAACAUUGUAUAACUGUCUUGCUGUUCCUUUAGUGCAAUACAAUAAAACUCUGAAAUUAAGGCUUAUUUUCAUUGCAUUGUUUUAAAGAUUACAAAUAGCUAUUUCUUCAACUUGAUUAAUCCACU